UCCUCUGAAAAGGCAAGGAAUGCUCUCCUCUGGGAGGAAGAAGCUAAUGCAAAGAAAGGAACAGGUAACGAGAACAAAGAACCAAAAAAAACCAACCAGACACAAAGACAAUGGAAAGCAAAGCAAAAGGCGCACUACUGAAAAGCAACAGGGGAAAAACAACCAAACGAGGAAGACAAAGCAAUUCAAACAAGUCACCAUACUGCAUUCCAUUCAUUUGCUUUACUCGUGUAUAUCGUGGCAAACCAAAGAAGCCAAACACAGUACAAAGAGAAAAACACUCACCAAUGCUUAGCACUGAAGAGAAGGAAGAAACCAAAAUUCUCGAGCAAUGCAAGGCAAAGGUACAAAAGAAAAACCAAAGAGCAAAGCAAAACAAAGCCAGGAGCAAUAACAGAAGGAGGAAGUACUAAAAAGCCAAGGAAAGCAAAGCAAAAAUCACCUGAAAAGCCAAGAAACCAGAAGGAAUACCCUUAGCAAGCAGAAAUCCAGCCAUCAGAGGACUGUGUCAGCUCCAUGGAUUCCAGUGACACCAAGGUAUCUGCAACAUCAAAUUUCAGCCAGGCAUCCUGGGCCCACAGCAGCGCUCCUACAGAGUUCAUUCUCUUACACCCUGAUACCAAAGACAUGCUACCUGUGAGUGGCUAACACAAUAUCUGGCUGCCACAGGACUUGCAAGGAGUGACACCAAGUUUUCUCUCUCUAGUCAGCACACAGAAGUUACUUUGGCUGCCUUUGCAGGAGAAGAGAGCCAUCUCUUGCCAUGCAGGGAGGGAGGACGUGGUGUAUUUCUAGCAUCAAGUUACAUGUGGUCAAGUCAGGGGAUGCCAUACCUGCUCCCAGCCUGAAUCCUGCAAUGUGUCAGGAGGAGCAGUGCAUUCAUAACGCAGCAACAAAGACUGGAGCACUGCUGAGACAGGUAGCAGAGCUCCUUCAUUAGUGGUCACUGUUAACCCCAUCCAGUCAGUGCUGAGCAAAACGAGGACUCUGCAAACUGCAGGUAAUAUUUCCUGCUGGCUCAGCUAUAGUCAUUUAUGCAGCUUUUAGGGCGGUUUGGUGUUUUUUUCUUUCUUUUUCUGUUCCUUGCUUUUGGUGAGAUGCUAAUAAUUCCUGCAAACUCCCCCAUACACAACCAAUCUCCAUCAGAUGAUGAGACAAAAGGCUGAGAUAAGCCCCACUUCUAGCUAUACACUGUUAAAACGGGAAAAGAAAUCUGUUCAGAGAUUUUGCGAUGCAUAUGCAUGCAACAAGAAAAGCAGAGGCAGGGAAAAGAAGAGCUGGCUUGCAUGGCAGCAGGUGAACAAUGAACAAGGGAAAAACACUUGGCUGUAACAUUCACACCCGUGUCUCAUCCCACCUAAGACCCAGAACACAACAACUUCCAAGUAAUGCUCUAACUGAUCCGUACUGUAUUGAGCCUCUAAGCUGUCUUUGCUUCUCUGCUUCUGUAAUUUAAGCUCCUUUUGUCUUGCUGUUCAGCAGGCAAACCUCAC
ensembl:lncRNA